rnacentral:rRNA from 1 species
GAUGAACGCUGGCGGCGUGCUUAACACAUGCAAGUCGAACGAAGCAUUAUAAAUGAAGUUUUCGGAUGGAUUUUAAAAUGACUUAGUGGCGGACGGGUGAGUAACGCGUGGGUAACCUGCCUCAUACAGGGGGAUAACAGUUGGAAACGACUGCUAACACCGCAUAAGCCUACAGUCUCGCAUGAGACAGUAGGAAAAUAUUUAUAGGUAUGAGAUGGACCCGCGUCUGAUUAGCUAGUUGGUAAGGUAAUGGCUUACCAAGGCGACGAUCAGUAGCCGACUUGAGAGAGUGAUCGGCCACAUUGGGACUGAGACACGGCCCAAACUCCUACGGGAGGCAGCAGUGGGGAAUAUUGCACAAUGGGGGAAACCCUGAUGCAGCGACGCCGCGUGAGUGAAGAAGUAUUUCGGUAUGUAAAGCUCUAUCAGCAAGGAAGAUAAUGACGGUACUUGACUAAGAAGCCCCGGCUAACUACGUGCCAGCAGCCGCAGUAAAAC